rnacentral:rRNA from 1 species
CCUACGGGAGGCAGCAGUGAGGAAUAUUGGUCAAUGGACGAGAGUCUGAACCAGCCAAGCAGCGUGAAGGAUGACUGUACUAUGGGUUGUAAACCUCUUUUAUAAAGGAAUAAAACGAGGCACGUGUGCCUUUUUGCAUGUACUUUAUGAAUAAGGAUCGGCUAACUCCGUGCCAGCAGCCGCGGUAAUACGGAGGAUCCGAGCGUUAUCCGGAUUUAUUGGGUUUAAAGGGAGCGUAGAUGGGUUGUUAAGUCAGUUGUGAAAGUUUGCGGCUCAACCGUAAAAUGGCAAUUGAUACUGGCAGUCUUGAGUUCGGUUGAGGUAGGCGGAAUUCGUGGUGUAGCGGUGAAAUGCUUAGAUAUCGCGAAGAACCCCGAUUGCGAAGGCAGCUUACUAGACUGUGACUGACAUUGAUGCUCGAAAGUGUGGGUAUCGAACAGGAUUAGAUACCCUGGUAGUC